rnacentral:misc_RNA from 1 species
UGCACCUACCGAUGAAACUCCUCCUCUUAAUGACCUUGUUGUACAAGGUCAUCUUCCGGAGUGCCUUAAUGGUGAAUUUGUUAGAGUUGGUCCAAAUCCAAAGUUUGCUCCGGUUGCUGGAUAUCACUGGUUUGAUGGGGAUGGCAUGAUUCAUGGCUUGCGCAUUAAAGAUGGAAAAGCAACGUAUGUCUCACGUUAUGUGAGGACUUCACGUCUAAAGCAAGAAGAGUUCUUUGGUGGAGCUAAGUUUAUGAAGGUUGGAGAUCUUAAAGGGCUGUUUGGUCUGUUCACAGUUUAUAUGCAAAUGCUCAGAACAAAGCUGAAAGUAUUGGACAUCUCCUAUGGAAAUAGCACAGCUAAUACAGCUCUAGUAUAUCACCAUGGGAAGCUGUUGGCACUUUCAGAGGCUGAUAAACCUUAUGCACUUAAAGUUCUAGAGGAUGGAGAUCUUCAAACACUUGGCAUGCUGGAUUAUGACAAACGAUUGACGCAUUCCUUCACUGCCCAUCCAAAAG